CCAGGAUUAAAAAAAUAACCUUUAGAAGAGAUUCUCAAAGCCCCCUGAAGCACUUUGACCCCUUAAGGUGACUCUGGAUUCUGAGGAGUAACCUAAGUGUCACAGCCUCUUAGUGAGAGCAAUCUGAUGGAACAUCUUGAUUUCCCUGGACUCCCAUUAAACUACGUAUCUAACCAAGAGGGAUCUGAAGGAUUGGGCUAUGACCUGAGUUUGGAAGAGAGGAUGUUAGGUUAUAACUGGCAUUUUUGAGCCAUAAAAAUUUGUAAGAAAAGUAGGUUUGUUGCAGGCAAUUGAACACACUGGAGAAUCUCUUGGACUUUCUCAAUAUUGCUAAGGUGGGUGUAUUUGUGGACUUGGUUUGGAAAACAUGGAAAAGUUACUGGCUUCAUUUAAAGCUCCAUGAACCUCCUGGGGUGUGGUAUUAGUAGAGUCUUAAUCUUAUCCUGAUAGUUUCCUAAAGAGGUUGGGUUCAAAGUUGAUCUUCACAGUCCGGGAGGGAGGUGAGCACCCUAGCUAAUCUUACGCAGGGACACUUUGUUUUACAUCUGUGUCUCUCGGUGCAUAAGCUAGUUGCCUAAAAUAUUCAUGGAAGAACUGAAAAUAAGGUUGAAAGAGAAAUGAAAACUGUCACAAAGACCCAAACUUGGAGGAAAAAAUUAAACUCAGGAGAUUUCUUGCACAGAAUUAAAUUGGGUUAAGAAUGGCCAUCUGAUUCUCUUGUGCUGUUCUGGUUAAUUUGGUCCCUAAAGAGCCAAAUGUUUGGGCAUGAGACAAACAAGAAAACAGGUCAGAACACGAGAAAGGGAAUGUUGAAACAUAAAAUUUUCAAGACUGCAUUGGGGAAGCCAAUGCAGAAGACCACUGAGCGGCAGUUAGGAAAGCCCAGGGUCAGGAAUUCUUGGUCAGCCACUACCACUAAUUGGCUCCAAGAUUCUGUGGUAUUCUAAGGGAGUCACGUAAACAUCUUUUAAAGAGCCAGGUGACCAAGCCUGUAUAUCGGUAAGCUGUUUAAUAGGGAAGAAAGGAAAGAUUUCAGAAAAGGAAAAGGAAAUAGCUUUGUAUUAGAGAGUUCGCAGUAUCAGCUUUCUGGUGAGACAUGAAUGAUAGAUGCUUGCAUAGCAUUCACAACACCUUGGGUUCAAUAAAGUUCUGACGAGAAAUGGAAGAUGAGUCAGAUAACACAGGAAAUCACUCUUAACAAAGGAAUGGUUAGAAUGCAAGUGCAGAAGGAGAGGGGUUCAGGGUCUAUCUGAAACUCUGCUUUUAGGGUUGCAAAUCAUUAGCUAGGCCAAGAUAUUGUGCAACCUUGUCAUCUUGAAGAGACCUCAGUAAAUUAAAUUUUGUACCUGUUGGUCAAAUAUGUGCAUCUGUCCAGAAAAAUGUGUGGACAAUCUGGUAUACUUAAAUAGGGUCAAGAAAUCCAGAGU
rnacentral:lncRNA from 1 species